ACGUACUGGGGGUGCUCUGGGGGGUGACAGGGACGCCCUACCUGCUGAAAGCACGCACGGCCCUGUCUUAUCGCUGGAGAGAGGAGUUCACGUGUCAAUGGAAACAUCCUUGGGAAGGAGUUUUUAUUCUGUUUUGUUUCCUAUUUGGCGUGGAUUUUGUUAUUAGAUCCAUUCACCCUAUUGUCCAGCUAAGCACGUGCCACCUUUCUGACUAUCAGAGGCAGACGGACUGGGACUGGAGAAUGUGGCUUACCUCUUAAUUUCUUGUAUGCCUAAAAUCAUGUGGACAAAAAACAAAACCAAAAACUCUAGUUCAGAAGUGUAUUUUGUAAUAAAACUUUAACCAUUUGAAA